GGAAAAGCUCAGUUGGGAGAGCGCCUGCCUUGCACCAGGAGGUCGCGCCGGGGGCGCGCACGACUUCGAUCUCGCUUGGCUCCACCA
rnacentral:tRNA from 1 species